UUAUUAAAGAUAUUGAAAACGGAACGAUAACUUUUAUGAAAACGGAUGUGGCUGCACGAGAAGCAUCUCUUACAGUUUCAAAAACGUUAUGGCCGUGUAAACUCUGGUGUCGUACUGUUUCUCCAUACUCUCCAAAUUUCCAUGCUGUUUGGCGGGUUUGGCCUGAACCAGUCAUUAUUACAACACGACAUGCAGGUUUUGCUUGUGCUGGUAUUGACUUGCCAUCAGCAACAAUCUCAAUCAUCACUUGGAUAAACAUCAUCCAGUUUGAUUGAUUGUUCCAGGAGAAACUACCGAUGUCGAUCGAGUUACGCACAUCGUCUUCCUUUUGCUUCAAAUGUCCUCGUGUACACCCAUGUGAGUGUGGGAGUAUUCACGAGGACUUUUUCCUAUAUCCUGCCAGGUGUAUUCAACUUUUCUGCAGGAUGGAACACUGAAUCCUGGCUGUAUUUCCCAUGCAUAAAAGUAGGAAAAAUGGAUCUAUAUUCUUCCUUUUGGACUAUUUGGUGUGGGCCUGUGGGGUGAGUGUAAAUCGUGACGUAAUACGGAAUACGAUUAUUCCAGAGCAAAAAAGUUGACUGGGAAUGUUUUCUCUUGCCAUUUCUGUUGACUCA